rnacentral:rRNA from 1 species
UGGGGAAUUUUGGACAAUGGGCGAAAGCCUGAUCCAGCAAUGCCGCGUGUGUGAAGAAGGCCUUCGGGUUGUAAAGCACUUUUGUCCGGAAAGAAAUCCUUGGCUCUAAUACAGUCGGGGGAUGACGGUACCGGAAGAAUAAGCACCGGCUAACUACGUGCCAGCAGCCGCGGUAAUACGUAGGGUGCAAGCGUUAAUCGGAGUUACUGGGCGUAAAGCGUGCGCAGGCGGUUUGCUAAGACCGAUGUGAAAUCCCCGGGCUCAACCUGGGAACUGCAUUGGUGACUGGCAGGCUAGAGUAUGGCAGAGGGGGGUAGAAUUCCACGUGUAGCAGUGAAAUGCGUAGAGAUGUGGAGGAAUACCGAUGGCGAAGGCAGCCACCUGGGCCAAUACUGACGCUCAUGCACGAAAGCGUGGGGAGCAAACAGGAUUAGAUACCCUGGUAGUCCACGCCCUAAACGAUGUCAACUAGUUGUUGGGGAUUCAUUUCCUUAGUAACGUAGCUAACGCGUGAAGUUGACCGCCUGGGGAGUACGGUCGCAAGAUUAAAACUCAAAGGAAUUGACGGGGUC